CGUGUCGCUCGGCCAGCACCAGGCCGUGGUGAUGACGGUGCCGGGGCAUACGCAGGGGCAUGUGGCGUUCCACUUCGCCGACGAUGCGG
rnacentral:tRNA from 1 species